rnacentral:lncRNA from 1 species
CUUUCUGAGAGUUCUUUCCUUUAUUACUCAGUAUUAAUUACUAAAGUUUCCUUUUUUUUAACAAUUUGUUCUCUAAAGAAGUUUAUUUUUAGUAUUUCCUCUUUGGAACUAAAAGAUAGAAUGAUUUUUCAUAAUGGUUUUGUUCAAAUUGGGAAUAUAUGUUUGGAACUAAAAGAUAGAAUGAAAUUUGACAAUGGUUUUGUUCAAAUUGGGAAUAUAUGUUUGGAACUAAAAGAUAGAAUGAAAUUUGACAAUGGUUUUGUUCAAAUUGGGAAUAUAUGUUUUCAAGCUGUGCUAGAA